ACUCCCAAACCCCUGUGAACAUACCAAUUGUUGCCUCGGCGGAUCAGCCCGCUCCCGGUAAAACGGGACGGCCCGCCAGAGGACCCCUAAACUCUGUUUCUAUAUGUAACUUCUGAGUAAAACCAUAAAUAAAUCAAAACUUUCAACAACGGAUCUCUUGGUUCUGGCAUCGAUGAAGAACGCAGCAAAAUGCGAUAAGUAAUGUGAAUUGCAGAAUUCAGUGAAUCAUCGAAUCUUUGAACGCACAUUGCGCCCGCCAGUAUUCUGGCGGGCAUGCCUGUUCGAGCGUCAUUUCAACCCUCAAGCCCUCGGGUUUGGUGUUGGGGAUCGGCGAGCCCUCGCGGCAAGCCGGCCCCGAAAUCUAGUGGCGGUCUCGCUGUAGCUUCCAUUGCGUAGUAGUAAAACCCUCGCAACUGGUACGCGGCGCGGCCAAGCCGUUAAACCCCCAACUUCUGAAUGUUGACCUCGGAUCAGGUAGGAAUACCCGCUGAACUUAAGCUAAUCAAUAAGCGGAGGAA
rnacentral:rRNA from 1 species